rnacentral:rRNA from 1 species
AUUGAACGCUGGCGGCAUGCCUUACACAUGCAAGUCGUACGGCAGCACGGGAGCAAUCCUGGUGGCGAGUGGCGAACGGGUGAGUAAUAUAUCGGAACGUGCCCAGUCGUGGGGGAUAACGCAGCGAAAGCUGUGCUAAUACCGCAUACGAUCUACGGAUGAAAGCGGGGGAUCGCAAGACCUCGCGCGAUUGGAGCGGCCGAUAUCAGAUUAGCUAGUCGGUGAGGUAAAGGCUCACCAAGGCGACGAUCUGUAGCUGGUCUGAGAGGACGACCAGCCACACUGGAACUGAGACACGGUCCAGACUCCUACGGGAGGCAGCAGUGGGGAAUUUUGGACAAUGGGCGAAAGCCUGAUCCAGCAAUGCCGCGUGCAGGAUGAAGGCCUUCGGGUUGUAAACUGCUUUUGUACGGAACGAAACGGUGAGCUCUAAUACAGUUUGCUAAUGACGGUACCGUAAGAAUAAGCACCGGCUAACUACGUGCCAGCCGCCGCAGUAA